AAGCAUAUAACUAAGCGGAGGAAAAGAAACUAACAAGGAUUCCCUCAGUAGCGGCGAGCGAAGCGGGAACAGCCCAAGAUGAAAAUCCCUCCGGGGAGUUGUAGUCUGAGCGGCCUUGGGCGGUCAGUGUGGGUAAGUCGUCUGGAAUGACGUACCGCGGAGGGUGAGAGUCCCGUCCAGCCCACACAGGACCUGCCCGCACGAGGUCGCUUCAACCGAGUCGGGUAGCUUGGGAAUGCUGCUCUAAAUGGUGGUAAAUCUCAUCAAAGGCUAAAUAUCGGUGGGAGACCGAUAGCGAACAAGUACCGUGAGGGAAAGAUGGAAAGAACUUUGAAAAGAGAGUGAAAAGCGCUUGAAACCGUCACGAGGGAAGCGCAUUGCGUCAGUGGUGGCGCGCGCGGUUCAGCCCGGCCUCGCGCCGGGUGUACUCUGCGCGCGUCGUGCGUGUGUGGCCGGGCGGCGUGCGAAAAGCAUUUUGUUUGGCACGGCGCCUGGUGAGGGCUCCCCCGCACGGGGUGAGGACACACGCAAAAGGACGCGAUACGACCCGUCUUGAAACACGGACCAAGGAGUCUAGCACGGCUGCGAGUCGAAGGGUGAUUUUCAAACAAACCCAGCGGGCGCAGUGAAAGCAAAAGAAAGCACAUUGGGGAGGCGUUGCGGUGUCACCAAAAUGUCCUACCUCGAGCAGCUGUGCUGGGACCCGAAAGAUGGUGAACUAUGCCGGAGUAGGGCAAAGCCAGAGGAAACUCUGGUGGAGGCUCGUAGCGAUGCUGACGUGCAAAUCGCUCGUCGAACUUGGGUAUAGGGGCGAAAGACUAAUCGAACCAUCUAGUAGCUGGUUCCCUCCGAAGUUUCUCUCAGGAUAGCGGGCCGACUUUUACAUGUUGUUCUGUGCGGUAAAGCGAAUGAUUAGUGCAUUUGGGGGCCGAAGGCCUUCGGGCGAUUCUCAAACUUUAAAUGCGCAGGGGGGCGGCUGCUUGAAUGAGCCCGCUCUUGUAAAAACGUCGGCUCCGUGGGCCACUUUUGGUAAGCAGAACUGGCGAUAAGGGAUGAACCUUAAGCGCGGUUAAGGCGCCGCAUUGCCCGCUUAUAGACCCCACAAAAGGUGUUGAUUCAUCCAGACAGCAGGACGGUGGCCAUGGAAGUCGGA
rnacentral:rRNA from 1 species